rnacentral:SRP_RNA from 12 species
AGCGAGAGGAAGACACUGCGCGGUCGCGGUUGCAAGCAGAGCUGCAGCGCCUGAGGCGGAAGAUGGAAGAGGAGCAGGCAGCAGCUGCUGUGCGAGCGCGGCAGGCAACGGAGGCUGUGAUAGCUGCAAG